rnacentral:rRNA from 1 species
AACGAACGCUGGCGGCAUGCCUAACACAUGCAAGUCGAACGAGACCUUCGGGUCUAGUGGCGCACGGGUGCGUAACGCGUGGGAACCUGCCCUUAGGUUCGGAAUAACUCCCCGAAAGGGGUGCUAAUACCGGAUAAUGUCUUCGGACCAAAGAUUUAUCGCCUUUGGAUGGGCCCGCGUUGGAUUAGCUAGUUGGUAGGGUAAAAGCCUACCAAGGCGACGAUCCAUAGCUGGUCUGAGAGGAUGAUCAGCCACACUGGGACUGAGACACGGCCCAGACUCCUACGGGAGGCAGCAGUAGGGAAUAUUGGACGAUGAACGAAAGCCUGAGCCACCCAGGCCGCGUGGGUGAUGAAGGCCUUAGGAUUGUAAAGCUCUUUUACCCAGGAUGAUAAUGACAGUGCCGGGGGAAUAAGCUCCGGCUAACUCCGUG